rnacentral:rRNA from 1 species
CCGGUGAUCUAGCCAUGGGCAGGUUGAAGGUUGGGUAACACUAACUGGAGGACCGAACCGACUAAUGUUGAAAAAUUAGCAGAUGACUUGUGGCUGGGGGUGAAAGGCCAAUCAAACCGGGAGAUAGCUGGUUCUCCCCGAAAGCUAUUUAGGUAGCGCCUCGUGAACUCAUCUUCGGGGGUAGAGCACUGUUUCGGCUAGGGGUCAUCCCGACUUACCAACCCGAUGCAAACUACGAAUACCGAAGAAUGUUAUCACGGGAGACAC